GCACGCCGCACAUGGGGCCCCACUCUCUGAAAGUGACCUAUCCUCGCUGGCUAUACGUCUCCCCUCCGCGCACAAAAACCCUAGCACGCAGGCGCAGCCAGGCCUGCACCCAAAGCUUCCGGAGAAUUCCUCCCUUGCCCCGCCGUCGCAUCCUCUUCGAAGUUCGAAUCGAAUCGCGCCGCGAUCACCCACCUCAUGGCGGACAAGGAGCCUGUCGUGGAGCGGCCAGAGGCGGGUGAGGAGGAGGAGGACGCCUCAGCCGCCGCCGCCGCGGGGGAGGAGGAGGACACGGGCGCCCAGGUGGCUCCCAUCGUGCGGCUUGAGGAGGUAGCCGUCACCACCGGCGAGGAGGACGAGGACGUCCUGCUCGACAUGAAGGCGAAGCUGUACCGAUUCGACAAAGACGGUAACCAAUGGAAGGAACGGGGCACGGGCGCUGUCAAGCUUCUCAAGCACAAGCAGACCGGCAAGGUCCGCCUAGUCAUGCGCCAGGCUAAAACGCUUAAGAUCUGCGCGAACCACCUCGUGGCCUCCACCACGAAGAUGCAGGAGCAUGCGGGCAGCGACAAGUCGUGUGUUUGGCACGCUGCUGACUUUGCCGAUGGCGAACUUAAGGAGGAGAUGUUUGCCAUCAGGUUUGGUUCGGUAGAAAGUGAGUCCUCUACCUCGUUUACCCGGUUGUUAAGCCCGAAGUAUCUGUCUGAUACCAAAUGGUUCAACUUCAUAAUCUCAGUGUUCUAAAAUAAAAUUUCAAGGGCCUUUUUUGUUUGAGCCCAGGCAUCCAAUUUUGGUGGCCUGGGGUUGACAUUGCUGCCUGGGAAGCUUCCAACCAAAUCCAAAAACUGCAAGAAGUUCAAGGAGUUGGUUGAGGAGAUAGCUGAGUCGCUUACAAAGAACGAGGGCAAGGAAGGUGAAGAUGGUGGUUCCACGGCUGGAUUGCUGGCGAAGCUCACUGUGAGCGAGGGCAAAUCUGAGGGAAGUGGCAAGUCUGAGUCCACUGAUUCUGGCAAAGUGACUGAAACCAAAGCCGACACAGCCCCAGCUGAGUAGUUGGUGUGGUUGCACUUGCACGCAGAUUCGCCUGGUGCUGAACUAGUUUGUCUGUCCGCGUCCAGUGGAAGUUUGGUGCCCUUUAGCCAUGGAAUACGAUUGCUAUCAUUUGGGCCCGGGCCGAGUUGGAGGAGUCUCAGGUGUUCGGUCUGGUUUGGUCCGGGCUUGAUUUUGCUAAAAACUUGGGAGUCCAUGGGGGUUGGGAACGUUUGAUAUGUGAGUCGCUAGUAUUUAACUGCAUGGAUCGUUGUGGAUUGCGGUAAAUUCAUAAAGUGGACCCUAUAUAUUUUUUAUUUCGUUCAAUACACAUUCAUAUCAUCAAUGAUUUAUAAUGGCAGUGCCUGUGGGGAGACU